rnacentral:rRNA from 1 species
UACAGAGGUCCCAAGCGUUGUUCGGAUUCACUGGGCGUAAAGGGUGCGUAGGUGGUGAGGUAAGUCGGAUGUGAAAUCUCCGAGCUCAACUCGGAAACUGCAUUGGAAACUACCUUGCUCGAGGGUUGGAGGGGGGACUGGAAUGCUUGGUGUAGCAGUGAAAUGCGUAGAUAUCAGGCGGAACACCAGUGGCGAAGGCGAGUCCCUGGACAACUCCUGACACUGAUGCACGAAAGCUAGGGGAGCAAACAGG